rnacentral:snoRNA from 1 species
CAGACUGAUGAGUCUAAGGCGAAUGUGACUCUAUGCCCUCUGACAUUUGGCUCCUGGGGCAGGGCUGGGGGAGAGAGCACAGAUGGAAUCUGAAAUCUUGGUGGGGAUACCUGAGUCCUGGUUUCCUGCUGUAAGGCCAGAUUAAUAGCACCACUGGCCUUGCCCGCAUGUGUGCUGCAGCCCCAGUUGUUGGCCGUAGCCUGCAGGGAGGCCCACAGAUGGGGUCAAAGUGAGGGGGGGCACAAGCCAUGUGAGCACAACCUUGGAUCUGACA